UACGAAGGGGGCUAGCGUUGUUCGGAAUUACUGGGCGUAAAGCGCGCGCAGGCGGCUCUUCAAGUCAGGGGUGAAAGCCCAGAGCUCAACUCUGGAACUGCCUUUGAGACUGAAGAGCUUGAGUACGGGAGAGGUGAGUGGAAUUCCCAGUGUAGAGGUGAAAUUCGUAGAUAUCGAGAGGAACACCGGCGGCGAAGGCGGCCAACUGGACGAACACUGACGCUGAGACACGAAAGCGUGGGGAGCAAACAGG
rnacentral:rRNA from 1 species